rnacentral:rRNA from 1 species
UACAGAGACUGCAAGCGUUAUUCGGAUUCACUGGGCGUAAAGGGUGCGCAGGCGGCUAGGUGUGUUAGGCGUGAAAGCCCGGAGCUCAACUCCGGAAUUGCACCUAAAACUACAUGGCUAGAGCAUUGGAGAGGGUAGCGGAAUUCACGGUGUAGCAGUGAAAUGCGUAGAUAUCGUGAGGAACACCAGAGGCGAAGGCGGCUACCUGGACAAUUGCUGACGCUCAGGCACGAAAGCGUGGGGAGCAAAA